AAUGUGAUUGAUACAAAUAUCCCUGUCUUCUCCUAGGGUCCCCCAGGUCCUCCAGGUCCCCCUGGACCAAAGGGUACGAUGACCAGAGUGAUUAAGGGAGUCAGAGGAGACCAAGGAGAAAUUGGACCCCCGGGGCCUCCAGGAAACGAUACACAUGAGCAAGUUCUGUACAACGGAACUGAAUCUCAGGGUCCUCCUGGGGACAAAGGUGUAAAAGGAGAAAGAGGGGAGCCGGUAUGUUACCACUAAUGACUCAUCAUACACAUUUAGAUCACAAACACAGAUAUAACACAUCCACACAAGU
rnacentral:lncRNA from 1 species